rnacentral:lncRNA from 10 species
GAUUGUUAUAAUUGUUCUAAUGUAUUAUUAGUUAUUGUUGUUAAUCUCUUGUUGUGCCUGAUUUAUAAAUUAAACUUUAUCAUAGGUAUGUACAUAUAGGAAAAAUCAUAGUGUAUAUGUAUAUGUAUUCUGUGUAACAGAUGUUGCCAUGAACACACUGUAAGUUGUAUUUUGUUUAUUACUAAGUAGAAUUUUGUCAAACUUCUUAAAUGAUUUUUUGUUUCUGAAUAUUAACAUGUCUAUCCACAUUUAUUUUAUAGUUGUUUUAUCACAAAAAUCAAUUGUUUUUCAAACUUUAUAUCCUUAGUGCAGGCUGUGGAAGAACAGGUGCCAUUUGUGCCAUAGAUUAUACGUGGAAUUUACUAAAAGCUGGGAAAAUACCAGAGGAAUUUAAUGUAUUUAAUUUAAUACAAGAAAUGAGAACACAAAGGCAUUCUGCAGUACAAACAAAGGAGCAAUAUGAACUUGUUCAUAGAGCUAUUGCCCAACUGUUUGAAAAACAGCUACAACUAUAUGAAAUUCAUGGAGCUCAGAAAAUUGCUGAUGGAGUG